UGGGGAAUAUUGCACAAUGGGCGCAAGCCUGAUGCAGCCAUGCCGCGUGUGUGAAGAAGGCCUUCGGGUUGUAAAGCACUUUCAGCGAGGAGGAAGGUGGUGAGCUUAAUACGCUCAUCAAUUGACGUUACUCGCAGAAGAAGCACCGGCUAACUCCGUGCCAGCAGCCGCGGUAAUACGGAGGGUGCAAGCGUUAAUCGGAAUUACUGGGCGUAAAGCGCACGCAGGCGGUUUGUUAAGUCAGAUGUGAAAUCCCCGGGCUCAACCUGGGAACUGCAUUUGAAGCUGGCAAGCUAGAGUCUCGUAGAGGGGGGUAGAAUUCCAGGUGUAGCGGUGAAAUGCGUAGAGAUCUGGAGGAAUACCGGUGGCGAAGGCGGCCCCCUGGACGAAGACUGACGCUCAGGUGCGAAAGCGUGGGGCAGCAAACAGGAUUAGAUACCCUGGUAGUCCACGCUGUAAAACGAUGUCGAUUUUGGAGGUUGUGCCCUUGAGGCGUGGCUUCCGGAGCUAACGCGUUAAAUCGACCGCCUGGGGAGUACGGCCGCAAGGUUAAAACUCAAAGGAAUUGACGGGGUCAUAGCUGUUUCCU
rnacentral:rRNA from 1 species